rnacentral:rRNA from 1 species
AAUGAACGCUGGCGGCGUGGAUAAGACAUGCAAGUCGAACGGAGUUAGCAAUAAGCUUGCUUAAGGCAAACUCAGUGGCGAACGGGUGAGUAACACGUGAAUAAUCUGCCUUGAAGUGGGGGAUAGCCCUGGGAAACUAGGAUUAAUACCGCAUGUGGUCGAGAGACUAAAGCAGCAAUGCGCUCUAAGAUGAGUUCGCGUCCUAUUAGCUAGUUGGUGAGGUAACUGCUCACCAAGGCCUUGAUAGGUAGCCGGUCUGAGAGGAUGUCCGGCCACACUGGAACUGAGACACGGUCCAGACACCUACGGGUGGCAGCAGUCGAGAAUCAUUCACAAUGGGGGCAACCCUGAUGGUGCGCCGCCGCGUGGGGGAAGAAUGUCUUCGGAUUGUAAACCCCUGUCAUGUGGGAGUAAGCUAGCGAUAGUUGAUAGUACCACAAGAGGAAGAGACGGCAAACUCUGUGCCAGCAGCCGCAGUAA